rnacentral:rRNA from 1 species
AGUGAACGCUGGCGGCAGGCCUAACACAUGCAAGUCGAACGGCAGCACAGUAAGAGCUUGCUCUUACGGGUGGCGAGUGGCGGACGGGUGAGGAAUACAUCGGAAUCUACUUUUUCGUGGGGGAUAACGUAGGGAAACUUACGCCAAUACCGCAUACGACGUACGGGUGAAAGCAGGGGAUCUUUGGACCUUGUGCGAUUGGAUGAGCCGAUGUCGGAUUAGCUAGUUGGCGGGGUAAAGGCCCACCAAGGCGACGAUCCGUAGCUGGUCUGAGAGGAUGAUCGGCCACACUGGAACUGAGACACGGUCCAGACUCCUACGGGAGGCAGCAGUGGGGAAUAUUGGACAAAGGGCGCAAGCCUGAUCCAGCCAUACCGCGUGUGUGAAGAAGGCCUUCGGGUUGUAAAGCCCUUUUGUUGGGAAAGAAAAGCAGCAGGUUAAUACCCCGCUGUUCUGACGGUACCCAAAGAAUAAGCACCGGCUAACUUCGUG